UCUGGGACAAGCCCUGGAAACGGGGUCUAAUACCGGAUAAUACCUUCUCCUGCAUGGGAGGGGGUUGAAAGCUCCGGCGGUGAAGGAUGAGCCCGCGGCCUAUCAGCUUGUUGGUGGGGUGAUGGCCUACCAAGGCGACGACGGGUAGCCGGCCUGAGAGGGCGACCGGCCACACUGGGACUGAGACACGGCCCAGACUCCUACGGGAGGCAGCAGUGGGGAAUAUUGCACAAUGGGCGAAAGCCUGAUGCAGCGACGCCGCGUGAGGGAUGACGGCCUUCGGGUUGUAAACCUCUUUCAGCAGGGAAGAAGCGCAAGUGACGGUACCUGCAGAAGAAGCACCGGCUAACUACGUGCCAGCAGCCGCGGUAAUACGUAGGGUGCGAGCGUUGUCCGGAAUUAUUGGGCGUAAAGAGCUCGUAGGCGGCUUGUCACGUCGGUUGUGAAAGCCCGGGGCUUAACCCCGGGUCUGCAGUCGAUACGGGCAGGCUAGAGUGUGGUAGGGGAGAUCGGAAUUCCUGGUGUAGCGGUGAAAUGCGCAGAUAUCAGGAGGAACACCGGUGGCGAAGGCGGAUCUCUGGGCCAUUACUGACGCUGAGGAGCGAAAGCGUGGGGAGCGAACAGGAUUAGAUACCCUGGUAGUCCACGCCGUAAACGUUGGGAACUAGGUGUUGGCGACAUUCCACGUCGUCGGUGCCGCAGCUAACGCAUUAAGUUCCCCGCCUGG
rnacentral:rRNA from 1 species